rnacentral:misc_RNA from 1 species
GUCAGGCUGCAGCUGACCACGAUAUUCCACUGGAGCCAGUGUUUUGAGCUUACAGCCCUGGAGCAGCAGGACAUCUGAUCCCGGUUGACGUACACCAAACAUAACAAGACAAUCGCCAAACAUGACAGACGAAUGCCAGGUUUGUCUGCAUGCUGCGCGUGACGUCACUACGGCAGAGACAGUUACAACAUUUGACAUGGAGAAGGCCGUAGUAUAUGGAUCUGGGCGCAGAGUGACCAACUUGAAGACCCGGAGGAGAGAGCUAUUGGCGAAAUUCUGUAACCGUGUCUGUGCUCUAAGAAACUCUGGCGGAGGUAUUUUGUUGAUUCACUUCCAGGGAAACAACGAGACCCAAAGUAAAGAUCUGAAUGCAUUUGAUGAGUUGGUCGACUUGAAGCUCAACGCCAUGAUAGAAGAUGACACAUUAUUUGUAGACAAUUAUGAAAGAAGCUGGCUUGACGAUAAUGUUGUAAUCCUGAAGGUUAAGUCCUCGCCGUCUUGCUCAACAUCAGACUUCAAGACAAAGAUCCCCCUGGACAACUGCCUUAGUGACCCCUCAGCUAGGAACAUCCCGCAGUUGUAUAAUCUCACGCCUGAAGACAGGAGCUCUCAGAUGCAACCGCAACCGCAGGUCUUCAUAGACUGGUCAACGAAUUUUGUUCCUUUGCAUGAAAGUCGGAAUACUGAAUUGAAGAGUUUUGGAAUAGGAUUUGUUGUGCCAACAGAUAUUCAAGAAAAAGCACUCCUGAUCUGGGAAGCACUUAAGUUAAGAGAAAAUGUAACAGCUAUGACAAAACUUCUUAGUGGUGGUUCAUUUUUUUGUGGAAUAGAGGAAGAACUGGUAGAUACGGGUGACUAUAAGGUGAAGAGGUCAAAGGUAUGUGGUAUGACCCUUGCUGAAGAUGAACUGGAAGAACUUAGACGUUUUCUACUGGAAAAGGUGCGAACAGACAUGAUGUGGACCAACCGAACCAACGAGAGCAUUGAGCCCCCAAUUGAUGCCGUAGAUAUACUAUUCCAUAAGGUUAGAGAGGAGACAUUCGUGAUGGAGGUUGUAAUCAAGUUCUUUGAUGGUUUGGUAUUUUAUGAUAAAGAUGGGCCAGAAUGUUAUGUAGUAAACAGUGACCUGAAACUGAGACGGGUAGAAUUCGCAGAGUGGAUACAGCGCGUGAGACCAGAAUAAAUCACUCAUGGGUAUCCUAAACCAAUGUCUACAUUUCCCAUCAUGAUGUUUACGUAUUACAGAGACUAUGUUAUUAUGAUUCAGCAUCCUGACAAUCAGAGACUUUCUGCAGCAGGGACGUUGUGAUUCAUUGUUGGCUUGAUCAUGCAUUACUUCCUACAUUAUGACGGAGAUCCAAUGCUUCUAGUGUUAUAUGGUGUCAUUUGUGUGUGCAUGCUGGAGACGUGUGGAGGAAUACACUACAUGUAUAUGUGUUCAUGAAACUGAUGACAGUAGCGGUGAUCAACAUUUAUCGAUCAUACACCACGAGGAUGGGAGAAGAGUCCACUUUGACUUGCCUGCGAGGCUGCUACAGUUUCGGACCGGCCAUCAAACACUCCGGGGAGUCCUUCAUGGAAAUUCUAGACUACUUCAAAUCCCUCCAAGAAGAAGAAAAGGGGAUCAACUUCACCUUGUUUCCCCCGUCAUUUGAACAAGAGCUUCAGGAGGACCAGCUGCACAUCACCGACACUGUCAGGCAAUACCUUGUAGCGAACAAAGGAGGGGUUGCGUUCUUUCACAAAUCUCUUUCCAACCUCGUGGCUCUGAAGACUCCGACUGACGUCAUCUGUGACGUCAUCAUUCUCACUCCCACUGACGUCCCGUACCUGUUGACCAUCGCGAAGGACAAGAAAGCGUCCCGGUCGUACAACCAAGCCAUGGCUAAACAUGUUCUACGCAAUCUAAGGCUCUUUGUUAGCGUGGACUUCACUCUAGCGUUUGGAGUAGUUGGUCUGGAGAGCAAUAUUGUAGAUUUGAAACUGUUCUCCGAACAGCUGAAGCUUGUUAAGUCAGCCUCCACGGCGUUCGCUCUAAAAACAUACAAGAUCAUGACUAAUUCCAAGUAUGAGAGCCUUGUGCGCGGAUUGAUUGCCAUGUUUGCCAUUGCCAAAACACCGACUGAAAACGGUUUCCAUGGCAACAAUUGCAAACAUAAUUCUAAAGUCAUCUGGUUAAUGCAGAAAGAUGCCUUUAAAACUAUGUUUGCAGUUGGAUAAAUCGCAGGAACGAAAUUCUGACUACAGCUUCUAAAAUAUGUUGUAUAUCUCGCUCAAGUGUUAUGACAGUUUAAACUUAAGUAUAGACCUUCCAGAUAGUAAUAACGGAGUUACUCGGUUAAAUGUUUUGGAGUGAAUGACCGUCCAAUCUAAACCAAAUGGGUGGUAAUUUGACUGUACGUAUCACACAGCAAGUAAGUUUCCAAGUAUGAACCGUAAAAUGUACAUUAUUUAGUUAACGUUAUCAAUGAAUGAAACAUCACUACGAAAUAUACAAAAUGGUUGACGGGAAAUGGUUGACUCUAUGUAGUUACUUCUACAGCCGACUGUAGCCGAGGAGAUCCAAUGAUACAGGUACAUAUUUACGGUAGGAUAACAGUCACUUCGCCUUGAUGAUAUGGCCUAAUUAUGUCUGAAUCAUAUGUCUUUGAGAUCAACAGAAAAGUGAAGUGACAAUAACGUAAUUUGAUUGGACAGUCAUGCAGGCUCUCAAAACAUUUUCAGCCUGACCAGGAAGUGAGACAACUGACACAUUUAAUGUCAUGUUACUUGUAUCUUUGUUCUAAUACUUGGUAUUAACAUUUAUAGUUCAUGAUCUCCUGCUUGUUUUAGGAGUUUAUAAUAUUAUGGUACAUGUUAUCUUUGUCCCGACAGUAUUGAUCUGACAAGAAAGGUUCUCACGCUACCUCCGAUAAUUUACUGUUGUAACUGCUUCUGCCAGACUGCGCGUGAUGUUUGUUCCAUGUUUGUAUUGAAAUAAUCCGCUGAAUAAAUAGUUCGUCUGGUCACACAGUCCUGUUUUUGAAGAAUGUGGGAAUGGGUAGGCAAGUUAGCACUAGUAUGACGGUGCUAAACGCAUUUCCACAGGCCAACCCGCGGUCGGCAGGGUCAUCUAAACGUUAGAAGGGUGAAC